rnacentral:lncRNA from 1 species
AUCGGAUAAAAUUCGUUGAUCGUGCGUGUUAUUUAGCCACCCAGCCACUCUGGUAUAAGUCGAUACCAAGUUCAAGGUACGUCUUCUGAUUUUUAACAACUGAUUAUGUGAAGGUUAUAGUAAGCAGAAAAUGGAAUCGGUAAACUCAACUUUAUCGAAUAGAUAGCUGAAAAGUCCCCGCCCAUUCGCCGGUGGCUCCAGUCUGUUUUCAGUCACUCGGACCAUUUCGUACCUGCGAAUUCAAAGGAAACGGUAAUUUUCAGGUAUUCAAGAGCGACGCCCCCUUUGAGUGGCCCAGACAACCCCUUUGGAUUACCAUGCCAACGAGGCUAUAACGGAGAUUAUUUUUGCCAGAUCCAGAUGACUCGAAGGUGUCGACCGUUGAGGGAAUUCCACGACGACGACGUUGAAGAGUCACAACUUGAAACGGUCAACCAAAUGAUCAAAGGUUGCAUGGCAUAGAGAAAGCGAAUUGGUUUCAUCAAGUCUACUGAGGAUUGGAGAGCCAGAAUCGCCCUCGACAAGGUCGUCUUAUUAAUUUCAACAAGAUUUGGCCAUUGGAAGUCUAAUCGUAAGAAAAUUGGAAAAUCAAACUCAACGUUAUCGAACAGAUAGCUGAAAAGUCCCCGCCCAUUUUCCGGUGGCUCCAGUCGGUUUUCCGUCACUCGGACCAUUUCGUACCUGCGAAUUCAAAGGAAACGGUAAUUUUCAGGUAUUCAAGAGCGACGCCCCCUUUGAGUGGCCCUGUCAACCCCUUUGGGUUGCCAUGCCAACGAGGCUAAAAGGAUUACACAUUUUUUUUUAUUGGUUUAAGAUGACUCGAAGGUGUCGACCGUUGAGGGAAUUCCACGUCGACGACGUUGAAGAGCCACAACUUGAAACGGUCAACCAAAUGAACAAAUAAGGUCGCGUUGCGUAGAAAAAGCGAAUGGGGUUUCAUCAAGGCUACCGAGGAGUCCAAUCGAGGAGAACCAGCAGGAGCGCCCACGACAAGUCCCGGUUUGACAGACUGGAUGCAUUCGGAUGCAAAUGCGCAACGAGAAUUUGGCAAGGAAUCGAGUCUCUCCCGUAAUGCCGCAAAAACGCCCCUCUGAUUAUUAUUCUGUUUGGGUUUUGGUAUUUUAAUAGUUGAAUUGCAUUGAAGGAAUUUAAUGACAUUUUUUACUUGCGAAAAUAGAAAA